CCUACGGGUGGCAGCAGUGGGGAAUAUUGCACAAUGGGCGCAAGCCUGAUGCAGCCAUGCCGCGUGUGUGAAGAGGGCCUUCGGGUUGUAAAGCACUUUCAGCGGGGAGGAAGGCGGUGAGGUUAAUAACCUCAUCGAUUGACGUUACCCGCAGAAGAAGCACCGGCUAACUCCGUGCCAGCAGCCGCGGUAAUACGGAGGGUGCAAGCGUUAAUCGGAAUUACUGGGCGUAAAGCGCACGCAGGCGGUCUGUCAAGUCGGAUGUGAAAUCCCCGGGCUCAACCUGGGAACUGCAUUCGAAACUGGCAGGCUAGAGUCUUGUAGAGGGGGGUAGAAUUCCAGGUGUAGCGGUGAAAUGCGUAGAGAUCUGGAGGAAUACCGGUGGCGAAGGCGGCCCCCUGGACAAAGACUGACGCUCAGGUGCGAAAGCGUGGGGAGCAAACAGGAUUAGAUACCCCUGUAGUC
rnacentral:rRNA from 1 species